UACGUAGGUGGCAAGCGUUGUCCGGAUUUAUUGGGUUUAAAGGGUGCGUAGGCGGUCUUUUAAGUCAGUGCUGAAAUAUCCCGGCUUAAUCGGGAGGGUGGCAUUGAUACUGAAGGACUUGAGUAAAGUUGAGGUAGGCGGAAUUGACGGUGUAGCGGUGAAAUGCUUAGAUAUCGUCAAGAACACCGAUAGUGUAGACAGCUUACUAAGCUUUAACUGACGCUGAGGCACGAAAGUGUGGGGAGCGAACAGG
rnacentral:rRNA from 1 species